rnacentral:rRNA from 1 species
AGCUCCAAUAGCGUAUAUUAAAGUUGUUGCAGUUAAAAAGCUCGUAGUUGGAUUUCUGGCGGGAGCGAUCGGUCCUUCACUCAGUGUUGGAACUUGAUUGUCUCCUACCAUCCAUGGAGAAAACUUAUCUGGCAUUAAGUUGUCGGGUAGGCAAUCUCCAUCUUUUACUGUGAAAAAAUUAGAGUGUUCAAAGCAGGCUUAUGCCGUUGAAUAUAUUAGCAUGGAAUAAUAAGAUAGGACUAUGGUACUAUUUUGUUGGUUUGUGCACCAUGGUAAUGAUUAAUAGGGACAGUUGGGGGUAUUCGUAUUCCAUUGUCAGAGGUGAAAUUCUUGGAUUUAUGGAAGACGAACUACUGCGAAAGCAUUUACCAAGGAUGUUU